GCUUCGUAGUUUUAAUAAAUGUUAUGUUUUGGUGGCAGAUCGUACUGGGUUGCUUCCACUACAUUUCCAUCCAUAAUGAUCCUGCCCGGCAAUUUAACUUUGGUUCCUCUGUGUGUUGACUUCACCUCUCCAGGAGAUUAUUUUCUCUUCAUUUUCCACAUCAUAUCGGGGAUCAGCACUGUGCUCGUAGCGGGCUCUGUGUUCUGCGGCAUCAUUUCCACCCGGGCUCUUUUAGUGCAGCACCGCUUUAUAUUUAUGUUGAACACCAGCAUUUCUGACACACUGACUGGCUGUGGCAUUUUCUAUCAGUUUCUUUUCGAUGUAACUGAGGAUUAUCCUUCCAAAAACGGGACUUUUUAUAUUUUGCCCUCUCUAUUAGGGGUUAAUAUUAUGACAUUUUUAUUCGCACAGUUUGAUCGAUAUUUUGCUGUUUGCCAUCCGUUCUUUUAUGCUCGUUUUAUCUCCACAAAAGUUGUUGUCUGUGUGGCUAUUUAUAGUUGGGUGCAUGUUUACGGCCUUUUGGUCAUCCAGCGCAUGGUCCCAUUGUCGAAAGCUUUGGACAUUGCAGUUUAUAGCAGAAUGAGUAUCUUUGUAAUUAUCAUCACCAAAGUGUCUAUGACUAUUAAGCUUCUUUUCGUGGUCAGAUUCCAGCUUCUCCGAGAGCCUCCAGGCCCGGAGAGAGAAAGUCUAUUAAGGUUUCGAAAGUUAAGGUUUGAGCUUUCGGACUUCCACGCUGGUUUGUAGUUUCAUAUUUUAAAUUUCUGUCUGUUAAAAUAUAUAUUUGUAUAGUUACUAUUUUAUUUCAAUACAUGUUCGGGUUUGUUUUACUUUAAAAACGUGUUUAGUACAAAUAGCCUGUAAACAAAAGUGAUGAUACAUGUUAAUAAAAUGAUGGCAAAAAUGA